CUACGCUGCGAUAAGCCGUGGGGAGCUGCGAAGAAGCUUUGAUCCAUGGAUUUCCGAAUGGGGAAACCCACCUUCGAUAGCCGGAACUCCAAGACCUUGGUCUUGGGGUUGUGAGAGAUAAUCAAACGAUCCUUGACCGUGAGGUUUUGGAUUUCCGGUUAUCAAGAGAAGGUAUGAGACUUCUGAAUACAUAGGAGGUUUCAAGCAAACCCAGGGAACUGAAACAUCUAAGUACCUGGAGGAAAGGACAUCAACAGAGACUCCGUUAGUAGUGGCGAGCGAACGCGGACCAGGCCAGUGAUACAUCAAAGACAAUCGGAACCAGUCAGGAAAGCUGGGCCUAAGAGGGUGAUAGCCCCGUACGAGUAAUGCGAUGAUGUAUCCACGAGUAAGGCGGGACACGUGAAAUCCUGUCUGAACGCGGGGGGACCACCCUCCAAGCCUAAGUACUCCUCAGCGACCGAUAGU
rnacentral:rRNA from 1 species